GGGAUCUGUCUGUUGUAGCAUCACGUCCGGAGGGAAUGCUCUCACUGCUGGUUAUAAAAGAUUACAAGGAGUUUAUCCGGGGCAUCUGUAUACAUUUGAGGUUGAGGUUGAAACAGAGGAGGUCACUUCCGCCGAGCUUGUUUUUGAUUUCGAGCUCCAGUACAAUAUACUUUCAGAAAGGUCAGAAGCAUGGGAGAUAAAAGAAUGCGGGAUGGUUCAACUCUUGGAGGUCUCUUCAUGCUGAUGAACAUUAUUGACAGCUUCAAAGAUGGCCUUAAAAGUUAAAACCUAAGAGAGGAGCUGCUGUUGGUGAAACAAACGGUCGUGACAGCUUAGCCUCUAUCGCAAGGUAUCACCCAUCUCGUUGGGUCCUAUUUAAAAAACAAAAUAAUGAUGAAUGUUUAAUAUUUGGUCGCAAAGCGUUUUUCUGUAGAAGUUCUCUCCUUAACUUCGAACUCAACCUUUGGAAUACGCCCUACUCUCCCAAAGUCAGUGAAGUCAGCAUCGAUCACAUAUUCACAUUAUCACCACCUUUGCUUGACGAUGAAUCUGCUGAUGAAUCACCUUCACCACCAGGUGGAGAACCUGGACCUGCAGCUCCAGGCUGGUUGUACAUAGACUGACCCAUCUGCAUCGCUUCUUGGUUAAGAGUAGCUAUGGCGUCCUUAAUUUCUUGUGUUGAUCCACCUUCGGCCAAUCUUGUCUUGUAGCUUGGCCUCCACCUUGUCUUUCACUUCACCAGGAAUCACCACAGAGUCCGCCUGGUUCUUUGUGUCAAUUGCAUCUCUCUUCUCUUUGUCAUCUUUCCCAAACCUUUCUGCUUCUUGCACCAUUUGCUCUACCUGUAACGUUCACUACAUUUGUUAGCACAAAUAUCAAUAUUAGCCAGAAGCAAAGCUUUUUUUUUUUUUACAAAGGCACUAUCCCAUGAUCAUGUACAAAGCUAUUCCCACAUCAAUAUUGCAACAACGACAGCAUAUCAACCAAUGCUUACAGCUAUCGUCGCAUAACCAGUAGACAAUGGCUAAACCUCGAGAAUGGAACUAUAAUGGUAACUGAAGCAGUGUUGUUUGGUUUGACAACUGUACGUACCUCGUCCUUACCGACAAUGUGGUUUGGUUUGUAAACUUAGUCAUAACACCACCAAGAGUUUAGACUGUUAGAAUAAUUAUAGACAGAUUUAUAUAUACCUAAUUGUAAUAACAGGGGGAACAUAACCACUACAUGGUGGCUUAGUGGUAAGUACCAAAUAGGUAGCGCCCUGGAUUCGAUAUUGCGGUGGCCACCGGGACUAGCGUUAAAUCGCAAGAAUACGUGGGUUGCCGUCGGUCUCGUGGGAUGAGUCUGGGCGAAGCCUGAAACCCCCACGGUUAUAAAAAAAAAAUAAAAAUAAAAAUAAAAAAAGAAUAACAGGGGGAACAAUACGAUAAAGUGGUGUCCAAUAAUUACCAUGCAUUAUGCAUAUUUGAAAAUCUAUCUCAUGGAAAGAAGAAAAGAAAAAGAAAAAAGCAAAAGGUUUGUUUUAUUAGAAUGGUGGUGCGCCUGCAUGAUAGGAGGCCCACUGUUUUUGCUAUCCCGCGAAUUUCGCGUGGAAAAGUGAUACCUCUGUUUCUACGAAGCUAUCGUUCUUGCUUGUUUCACUCAAUAGGGUCAACAGUUAUGUGUUAGUAUAUUCAAAGAGCCUAUGUUUGUUUAUCCUCACUAGAAAUCAGCUCUGAGAUCUUCAGACUCUUUUCAUCGUACUAAUAUGGAUUCUUAUUUUUCUCUUACCAAUGUUGCUGCUGCUGCAAUAUGCUUCUUGGCGUUGUUGUGUACAAUACUUUUCAAUAGGAAAUCCAGAUCUCAUCAAGAAAACGAAAGAAUGGCUUCUUCCACAAAUGAUUUCAUCAGAAAAUCCAGAUCUCGUCAAAAAAUCGGAUCAAUCGCUUCUUCUACAAUUUUUUUCAUUAGGGAAUCCAGUUGUCAUCAAGAAAACGAAACAAUGGCUUCUUCAUCUUCAACUCUUUCGGACCCCCAGUCUUCUUUGUCACACAGUUGGAAACACCAUGUCUUCCCAAGCUUCCACGGGGCUGAUGUCCGCGAAAACUUUCUCAGCCACAUUGUCAAGGAGUUCAAGAGCAAAGCAAUCGACCUAUUCAUUGAUAAUGAUAUAGAGAGAAGUAAGUCUAUCGGUCCUGAGCUCAUAGAAGCUAUUAGAGGGUCUAGGAUUGCGAUUGUAUUUGUCUCGAAGAACGGUUCUUCGACAUGGUGCUUGAACGAGCUUGUUGAGAUCAUGCACUUCAGAGAAGAGUUUGGUCAAACUGUGAUGUCCAUUUUCUAUCAAGUGGAUCCGACUGAUGUAAAGAAGCAGACUGGCUAUUUUGGGAAGGUCUUCGAAAAAACUUGUGAAGGAAAAACAGAGGAGGAUAUCCGAAGAUGGAAACAUGCCUUGGCGGAGGUGGCUCAAAUCGCAGGUUUCCAUUCAACAAACUGGAAGAAUGAAGCAGAGAUGAUUGAAGAUAUUGUCACUGAUGUUUCAAACAAGUUGAACCUUUCCGCACCAUCCAAUGAUUUUGGCGGCUUAGUUGGGAUGGAAUCUCAUAUGGCAGAUUUGACACCAUUAAUGUUACAGCUAGAUUCGCAUGAGGUGCUAAAAAUAGGGAUUUGGGGUCCGCCUGGGAUCGGUAAGACUACCAUUGCUAGAUAUCUAUUCAACCGAUACUCUCGAUAUGUCGAUCUGAGUGUCUUUAUGGAUAAUAUCAAAACAAAGUAUGCGAAAAAAACGGCUUGCUCUGAUGACUACAGUGUGAAGUUGGAUUUACAGAAGCAGUUCAUGUCUCAACUAACCAAUGAGAAGGAUAUCAAGAAUUUUUCACAUUUGGGAAUUGCCAAAGAUAGGUUGAAAGACAAGAGCCUUCUUGUCAUUCUUGAUGAUGUGGAUCGGCCAGUACAAGUGGAAGCAGUGGCCAAAGAAAAUAGUUGGUUUGGUCAAGGGAGUAUGAUUAUCGUCAUAACACAAGAUCUAAAGGUUUUAAAAUCAUGUGGGAUCGACCAUAUCCACAAGGUGAAUUUACCAUCAAAUGAAGAAGCUCUGCAAAUAUUCUGCAUGCACGCUUUUGGUCAGAGGGACCCUAAGGAUGGUUUCAUAGAGCUCGCUUGUGAAGUUGUGAGUCUUGUAGAAAAUCUUCCAUUGGGGCUAAGGGUUAUGGGAUCCUAUUUUCGGGGAAUGUCUGAGCAAGACUGGACAGAGGCAUUACCAAGGUUAAGGACUCACAUUGAUCGAGAUGGAGAAAUCUCAAGCAUUUUAAUUAGUUAUGAUUCCUUAUGUGAUGAAGAUAAACUCUUAGUUCUGCAUAUAGCCUGCUUUUUCAAUGGUGAAUCAGUUGAAGCCUGUCUAGCAAAACGUUUUGUGGAUGUGACACAUGGGCUUCGAGUCUUAGCUGAAAAAUCUCUCAUAUCUAUGGAAUGGGGAAAAAUAAAAAUGGCUGAGUUGCUAGUCCAGUUGGUAAGAAAAACUGUGCGAGGACAAUCGGUUAGUGAGCCUGGAAAACGCCAGUUUUUAAAUGAUGCAAUUGAUAUUGAAGAAGUGCUUAGUGAUUAUAAAGCUGAUAGUAGCAGCGUCAUAGGAAUAAAUGAUGAGACUUAUGGAGACAUAACAUGUACAAGUAAAAGAGCCUUCGAAAGAUUGUAUAAUCUUCAAUUCUUAAGAAUCAACAGCCUUGGCGUUAAUCCUCAAAGUAUGAACCACAUAUCCCAAAAACUUAGAGUUCUAAUUUGGCACGAGUUCCAGAUGCCAUGUUUUCCUUCAAGUUUUAAUCCCAAGUUCCUAGUCAAACUAGAGAUGCCUAAUAGCACGCUUGAAAAAUUGUGGAAAAAAACUCAACUGCUCAGCAAUCUUAAGCGGAUGGAUUUGAGUUAUUCGAGAAGAUUGAAAGAGCUUCCUGAUCUCUCAACUGCCACUAAUCUAUAUGACCUGGAUCUCUCAUAUUGUUCAAAUCUGGUGAAACUUCCUUCUUCUAUUGGGAAUGCAAUUAAUCUCAACAACCUGGAUCUUCGGUUUUGCUCAAGUUUGGUGGAGAUCCCUUCCUCUAUUGGAAAUGCAGUCAAUUUGGAAAUAUUUAUUCUCUAUGAAUGCUCAAGUCUUGUGAAGAUUCCUUCAUCUAUUAUAACAAUCGCUAGUCUCACACCUCUUACUCUCCAUGGAUGCUCAAGUUUGGUGGAGCUUCCACUGAACAUCGAAACAGUCACUGAACCCAAUCACAUUAAUCUCAGUCGUUGUUCAAGUUUGGUGAAACUUCCUUCCUCUAUUGGGAAUGCAACUAAGCUUGAAGAACUGAAUCUCAGUUAUUGCUCAAGUUUGGUGGAGUUACCUUUCUCUAUUGGGAAUGCAAUUAAUCUCAGGAAAUUGGAUUUCACAUUUUGCUUAAGCUUGGUGGAGCUCCCUUCCUCUAUUGGGAAUGCAACUAAGCUUGAAGAAAUGGAUUUCAGUCAUUGUUCAAAUUUGCUGGAGUUACCUUUCUCUAUUGGGAAUGCAAUUAACCUUCGGAUAUUAAAUCUCAGUCGUUGUUCAAGUUUGGUGAAACUCCUUUCCUCUAUUGGGAACUUAACUAAUCUUGAAGAACUGGAUCUCAGUUACUGUUCAAGUUUGGUGGAGCUACCUUCCUCUAUUGAAAAUGCAAUCGAUCUCCAGAUAUUAAACCUCAGUCAUUGCUCAAGUUUGGUGGAUGUACCUUUCUGUAUUGGGAGUAUAAUUAAUCUUGAAACAUUAAAUUUCGAAAAUUGCUCAAGUCUGGUGAAGCUCCCUUCCUUGAUUCGAAAUGCAGUUAGUCUUCAGGAAUGGGAACUUAGAGAUUAUUCAAGGUUGAUAGAGCUCCCUUCUUCAAUUCAGACGGUAAAUAAUCUUCGAGAAUUGACUCUCAGUGAUUGUUCAAGUAUGGUGGAGCUUCCUUCCAUUAUGAGAAACGUUGGUAGAUUUUUGAAAUGUUUAAAGUUAGAGGUUCUUCUGGAUGACAUUAACUUGGAAUCUCUUGAAGUACUCAGUUUCUCAGAAUGCUAUUUGUUGGAAAGUUAUCCUGAGAGUCCCACAGACAUUCAAGAGCUUGAUCCAUGGAUGGGGAGGAUAUCUCGUCUAACACGCCUUGUACUGAGCGGAAUGAAGAAUCUGGUAUCACUCCCGCCGCUUCCUGAUUCGCUAUUUGUACUAGAAGCAGAAAAUUGUGAGUCCCUGGAGAGACUAGGUUCCUCCUUUCGCAAUCCAUAUAUGAUGCUCAACUUUCGUAACUGCUUCAAACUAAAUCAAGAAGCCAGAGAUAUCAUCAGCCGGACAUGGACCAGUGCUUAUGCAGUCUUUCCCGGUAGAAAAGUGCCGCAGUGCUUCACUUACAGAUCAUCUGGGAGUUCCGUAACUGUGAAGUUGAAUCAACUGGCUCUUGGCAUAUCAACCAAAUUUAAGGCUUGCAUAUUAUGUGCUGAUUCGGACGGAGUUAACUUUCCACAUUUGUCACAAGCUUCUGUCUGUUGUAGCAUCACGUCCGGAGAAAAUGCUCUUACUGGUUGUUAUAAAAAUGUAGGACGAGUUUCGUCGGGGCAUCUAUACACAUUCAGAGUUGAGCUUGAAACAGAUGAGGUGACUUCCCCCGAGCUUGUUUUUGAGUUCAAGAUCCAGUUCGGCAAUAUAAACUCCGAAACAUGGGAGAUAAAAGAAUGCGGGAUACUUCAACUCCUGGAGGUCCCUCAUCCUGAUAACCAUUAUUGAGAGCUUCGAAGAUUGCCUUAAAACCUAACUUCUUGUGCUUUUAAUCCAGGAGGAGCUGCUGUUGGUGAAGCAAAUGGUCGUCACACAUUUGGUCAUGACAUGUUAGCCUCCAUCACAAGUUGCUAUCAGUGAGGUCAGCAUCGAUCACAUCAUCACCACAUUUGCUUAACGAUGAAUCUGCUGAUGAAUCACCUUCACCUCCAGGGGAAGGACCUGCAGCUCCAGCACCAGGCUGGUUGUACAUAGAUUGACCAAUCUGCAUCACUUCUUGGUUUAGAGCAGCCAUGGUGUCCUUGAUUUCUUGGGUUGAUCCGCUUCCAAUCUUGUCUUUAAGCUUUUGUAACUUGGCCUCCACCUUCUCUUUCACUUCACCUGGAAUUUUCUUUCCAAGUUGUUUAAGUUGCUUCUCUGUCUGGUAAACAACUGAAUCCGCCUGGUUCUUUGUGUCAAUUGCAUUCCUCUUCUCUUUGUCAUCUUUCGCAAACCUUUCUGCUUCUUGUACCAUUUGCUCUACCUGUAUAACGUUCAUUCACAAAAAACAUUUGUUAGCACAACUAUCAAUCAAUAUUACCGAGAAAGUGGUUUGGUUUGUAAACUGAACAAGAGCAACAGCCUGGAAUCAAAAGGGGUGUCACGUCAAGAAGAAUGUUUUUUUGAGAAAAAAAUGGAGAAGGACGACAAAUUAUGAAAUGUUGCUGACAUCUCCAGCAAGAGCAACAGCCUGGAAUCAAAAGAGAAAGCCGCUUGAUGAGAACUCACUGCAGCCAUUUGUUGUUUGCGUUGAGUAUAUAAAAUGGAGAAGGACGACAAAUUAUGAAAUUCACAAAAUAAAAAACAUUUCGAAGUCAUGGUCUUAUUAUUACGCUA